GGGAAAUUUCCUAACUCAUUUUGAGGCUAGCAUUACCCUAAUACGAAGCCAGACAAAGACAUUAUAAGAAAACUACACCCCCAAAUCACUUAUUAACAUUAAUGCAAAAAUUCUCAACAAAAUGGUAGGGAAACAAGUUGAAUAUCUUAUUAACAGGGUAAUGCACUAUGACCAAAUGGAAUUUAUUCCUGGAAUGCAAGGAUGGUUUAACACACACAAAUCAAUAAAUUUAAUAUGCCACAUUAACCUACUUGCACCUACUUGCUGCAAAACAAGUAAGAGGCCCAGGGAAGGUGUCCCUUUAGAUUCCAUAUGAAUUUUAGGAUUGGCUUUUCUAUUUCCGCAAAAAAAAAAUGUCAGUGGGAUUUUGCCAGGGAUUGCACUGAAUGUGUAGAUCACUGUAAGGGUGGUAAUAACACUUAAGUUUAAGAUUAAAGACAUUCUUAUUAAGGGUUUAGCUCAUUGACUAGUACAUUACAAGUGUUGUGUAUGGUAGCUUUUAUUUUCAUCUCCAGAACAUAUACCUUGCUAAAUACAAUAUACAUUGACUAUGCUUUAAGCAUGGAUCAUAUGACCUGAAAAUUGGAGAAUUUACAUGCAGAGUAUUGCUUUCUUCCAAAAAUGGCUGAAUCGUAUUACUAUGUAAUGAGCAGCUCCCAUGUGUCUUGUCACUGGGGACGUACAAACAUGACUUGCACAAGACCCCUUGCCCCGGUCGGAGACCUCAAAGGGGCAGGGAGGUGGGUGUGGCCCGGGCGGGAACCCUGAGGCUCCGGGAAGCUCCCCCAGGCUCCCAUCCAGGGCUCCGCCCCGCCUCGGCUCCAGCCGCCGCUAGGGGGCGCUCCCCGCCCACCGGCAGCAGGGGGCUAGCGGCUGGGCUCUGGGGCUCUGCGCACUGACUUGGGGCCGGCCGCUGGGAAGCGAGGAUUUGGCGGCCGAGGCCGGGACUUCGGGUCCCCACCCGGGCGAGUCGCGGGGCGGGGGCGGGAAGGGGCGCCGCGCGGAGGAAGUGCCCUUUUGGUCGCAGCCAGAGCCGCGCCGCAGGUGCCGCGAUGUCGUCCCAGCCGGGGCGCGAGGAUGAGGGGGCGGGGGGCGCGUGGCGGCCGCGGGAGCCGCCGGAUCAGGAGCUGCAGCGGGCCCGGGAGCAGAAGCAGCGGUGGCACGGCGCGCAGCAGCUGCAGCAGCUCAAGCACCUGGAGUCCUUUUAUGAAAAACCUCCUCCUGGGCUUAUCGAGGAAGAUGAGGCUAAGCCAGAAGAUUGCAUACCAGGUGUACCAGGCAAUGAACAUGCCAGGGAAUUUCUGGCUCAUGCGCCAACUAAAGGACUUUGGAUGCCACUGGGGAAAGAAGUCAGAGUUUUGCAGUGUUGACAUUGCAAACGGUAUGGUCACCAAACAGGCUACAAAGAAUGCCCUUUCUUUAUCAAAGACAACCAAAAGUUAGAACAGUUCAGAGUAGCACAUGAGGAUUUCAUGUAUGACAUCAUACAAGACAAUAAACAAUAUGAAAAGGAUGUAAGGAUACAGCAGUUAAAACAGUUACUGGAGGAUUCUACCUCAGAUGAAGAUGGGAGCAGCUCCAGUUCCUCUGAAGGUAAAGAGAAACACAAGAAAAAGAAGAGGAAAGAAAAGCAUAAGAAAGGAAGAAAGAAAAGAAAAAGAAGAAAAAACGGAAGCACAAAUCUUCCAAGUCAAAUGAGAGUUCCGACUCAGAGUGACAAGGAUGUGACUUGUUCAACGUUCUCUUCUCAAGAAUCAAACACUGUGGCCAAGGAACAGAGGAAGAUGCAGUCAGAGAAAGUAGCAGGAUAGAGACACUGAGACAGGAGGAUACGUGGGUCACAGCAGUGAGCUCCCACCCGCCUUCCAGUGAAGACGUGACCCCCGGAGAGGGAGUGUCUCCUUCCAGGUGCUAGCUCUGGACAGCUGCUGAUUUUAGGACAGUUUCUUCGGUGUUGUCCUCCCUGCUGGUCCUAUGAGUUUACGAUUCCUUUGAAAUACCUCCCAUAGGGUGGCAGGACUGGGAGAAUCUUUGAGGCGUUUCUUCCAGGACCUCCCACAGCUUGUGCCCUCCAUAGUGUGGAAUUGAACACCUGGCCUCAUGUGAUCCUUCCACCUUGGCCUCCCAAAGCAUUGGGAUAACAGGUGAGAGCCACUGCUUGGCUAAAAGUGUACAUUUAUAUUCAUCUGACAUGAUUUAUUGAUUUGGGGGCUAAGGAGUUCUUAAAAUAACAAUAAAAAAUCUUGUCUGGCU